AAAAUGUUCAUCCACCAUGCUGCUAAUGUCUCCUUGGAAGUAUGUGAGAAGGACGCUACCCGACUGCUCUUCAGUCUUCUUGGCCACAUGGCUCCCAAGAUCCUCUGCCAUCACUGAUAUUUUGGAAAGUGACCACCACUGGAAUCUCAAGAUCGCUCACUUUGGCGUUGGUGAUACUUGCGGACACCACGUAAGAGUUCAGGAUCACGCCGCUUUGAGUGUCCUAGAUGUUUUCAGUCAGGGAAAUGAAACUGGACCCGAGGUAUGGCUUCAUUGUUUGGGAAAAAGUUCUCAACAGUAGA